CACGCAGGCGGGUGCGCGCGUGGGGUGUGAAACCGGGUGGCUUAACUGCCCGCCGCCAUCCCAUACGGCGCGCCUGGAGCCAUCCAGAGGUCGGUGGAAUUGCCGGUGUAGUGGUGAAAUGCGUAGAGAUCGGCAGGAACACCCAGGGGGAAACCAGCCGACUGGGGAUGUGCUGACGCUGAGGUGCGAGAGCGUGGGAGCAACCCG
rnacentral:rRNA from 1 species